GGGAAAUAGUUUGUGAUUAGUAGAGUAUUUUCAUGUGCUAUCUAAUUUAAUUAUUUUUCUCUUUUAACAGAAUGAUACAACAGAUCUUUGCAGGAUUCUUCGCAAAUUUCUGCUAAUUCCUGGAUCCUCAACAUCCUUUUUCUUGGAGCGGAAUGCUGCACUCCAACCCUGGGGACUAUGCCUGGGGUCAGACAGGGCUUGAUGCCAUUGUAACCCAGGUGAGGAGACAAACUGAAAACACAAGGGCUCCACCAGCCGACAAGGAAAAGAUCAGAAAAAAACAUCUCUUCCAACAGUGACAGUAACUCAGGAACAAGUGGUAAAUACAGGUUUAGAAUGUCCAGUAUGCAAAGAAGAUUAUGCAGUUGGAGAGGAAGUCAGGCAGUUACCCUGCAAUCACUUCUUUCACAGCAGUUGUAUUGUGCCAUGGUUAGAACUGCAUGACACAUGUCCAGUUUGUAGGAAGAGCUUAAGUGGUGAGGAUUCUACUCGGCAAACCCAGAACUCUGAGGCUUCUGCAAGCAACAGAUUUAGCAGUGACAGCCAGCUACAUGAUCGAUGGACUUUCUGAAACUAAAGACCAUACCUGAACCAGGGCUGUUUGUGGUAGUCUUCUUAUCAUAGCUGUAAAUUAUAGUAAAACAAAAAAAGUAGUAGAUGGAUUUAGGAAUCAUACAAGAAACCCAAACCCAUAAUAUUAAUGCAGUGAGUGUUUUUCUUCUUUAAACUUAGUAUCUACAGAUGGACUUGUAUCUCUAACCAAAUGCCUCGUGUUCUUGAAUUCAGAGUGAUAAUUUUUUAAGUGUGAAACUUAAUUAUGUCAGUUUGUUCCUGCCUGAAUAGAAUCUGUUCCUUAAAGUCUAGCUAGAUUCCUGCUAUCUGUCAUGUUGCCUUGUAAUUGAUGUCUCCACUUCCUCUUCCAACCUUUAUCCUAUAUUUAGUGUAUUUUACAGUAAAUACAGAAGAACCAGAGCCCUAAAGUUCAGCUAAUAUAAAUUUCUUUUGUCUUAAUUGUACAAAAACACAUCUACUCUUGACCACAUUUGCAAUGAAAUGAGUUAAGAUUAAUUCAGGAAUCUGAGACUACUAAUUUUGUUUUGUCUUGACCCUCAGAGAGCAAAUCAAAGAAUUAUAGUGGGAAGAAAAAAGUGGCCUAUCACCAUAUGUUUUGGUUUUCUCAUUUUAAUUUUCAAAGACUAUUUCAGGAGGUGCAGUUUCUCUAGAAACCAACAUGGCAUGUCUUGGGAGUCUUAUAUUGAUAGGAAUAUGAUUCUGGUUCCUUUUUGGGAAUGAGUUGGGCAGCAUGUAGAUACAGAAAGAUGUUUGAAAUCUUCAGUUCUGAUAUUUUUUUUAAUGACCCCAACUCACUGUUUACUUUCUUUUAUAUGAGGGACCUUACAAUAAUUUCUCACAUAGAAAUAGGAUUAUUUAUAACUGCUUCUACAGACAGUUCAAUGUAUUUGGUAAUUCAUUGCUCUUUAGGAAUUGAGAUUUUUGUAUGUCUUAUUUUAAUUUUUUUAAAAAACUUUCAUCUCUCAAACUUUUUCCUGUUCUUCUUGGUUCUGGCUAUACUUGGAAUCAAGCUGCUUAAUGUGAUUAUGCCCAAAACAACUUGAUCUGGGAAAGAUAGGCCUUACUUUUUAAGUCUAACAGUGUCCAUUUACAUUCUCUUUAAAUGCUUAAAGUUGAAUAAAUAAAGGAUGUCAAUAAUGUUGUUGGAACUUCAAAGUCUCAAGGACAUAAAGGGAUGUAUAUAUGUGAAUAUGUGUUGGUAUACCAAAAAGGGUAUUUAAGGUGCAUAAGUGGCAACAUUUGCAGUAUCACAUCAGCCUUUCAUACUUUAGAAUGAUCAGAGUAAGAUCUCCACUAUUUUAGUGAGUCUCUGUCUUGAUUUUUGUUUGACUGUCACGUACUGACUUGGGGGUAAGGGAAUAGGGGGGCAUUAAAGAUAAAUUUGUACUUUAGUAGAAGGAGGAGGAGUUGGGGAGGGAAGAGAUAAAGUAGAGAGUAGCCUGCUGAAUUUACAGGUGACCAAAAAGGAUAUGUCAGGUAGCCCAGAGGGAAUAAAAUUUUUCUUAUAUACCUUUCCUGUUACACCUCUGUAAUGAUAUUUUUCUUUGAGAAAAGUGAUCGUUUUAACUGUAAUUAGUGUAUAAAAUGUAGCUUGAGAAUACACAUUAGUUUUGGAUGGGAGGGGGUGAGGAGAAUGGGGGGGGAGGCAAGAGUUAUAUUAGAAAUAUUUGGAGGAAGACUGUGUUGAAAUUGGAGCACAUUACAGUUUUCAAUUAGAACUUGAAUCAGCUGUCUCAGAAAAAUUAUGGUAACUUGGGAACUUUUGUCUACCUGUUGGUUUCUAGAUGAUGCCAGGACAUUUAGUUAAAUUUUUAGUUAAAACUGGAGAACUAGUUCUGAGUAGUUUUACAAAGUAAAUUAGACAGGAAUACUUUGUAAACAAAGUACUAGACAGGAAUCUGCCUGUUGAUGCAUAAUAAAUAGCAUCAGACUAGGUUAUCUUAAAUUUUCUUUACUCUUUUUUUUUUCUGUAGUAAAGGACAUAAGACUCAUUUUGCUAUUUCCCAAACUUGUCCCACUUAAUGAAUUUGUAAUUUUUUACUGUCUGUUCUUGUAAUAGGAGGCAUCUCAGACUUCUAGAUUAGUGUAUGUUAAGGAGUUAGGGUUUUUCAGGUAAACAGAACUGAUAGGAUAUAUAUGUAGAUAUAGAAAGAGAUUUAUUAUAAGGAAUUGUCUUAUGCAGUUAUGAAGGCUGAGAACUCUCAAGAUGCUCUGUGGGCCAGCUGGAAACCCAGGAGAACAGUUGGUGUAGUUCCAGUCCAAGUCUGAAGGCUUGAACACCAGGAGAUAUAAUGGUAUAAAUUACAGUCUGAAAGUCAGUAGACUUGAGAUUCAAAGAAAGCUGAAGUUUCAGUCCCAGUCCAAAAGGCAGGAAAGGCAGAUGUCAGGAAGGAAGAGUAGCUCUUAUUUGAGGGAGGCCAGUCUUUUGUCCUAUUCAGGCCUUCCACUGAUUAGAUGAACUUCUCCCUUCCUCCCCCCAAUUAGGGAUAAUGCUCAGUGUCAACUUGCUGAUUCAAAUGUUUAUCUCAUCCAAAAAUGCCUUCAGACACACCCAGAAUAAUGUUUGAUAUCCUAUGGCCUAGUCAAGUUAACACAUAAAAUUAACCAUCACAGUGAGUAGAAUAGAAAUGACACACACAGAGUGAUCUUCAUCUCACUUAAGUCUUGCCUCUACAAGAAAUUCUGCCUUGGCUUAGAGACCUCAGUGGUAUGGUAUAUAGUGUGUACCUAAUUUCUUCUUAGCCUUAAUAAGCCUAGAAAUCUGAUAUGCCUCUCAUUCUAGCAAGAAACAUUUUAGAUUCAUAGGUUAGGGUUAAGAGUUUAUUUCUCAAAAUGCCUUUCCCUUAAAUGUUUCAAAUAGUUUAGGUAUAGGGCCCAUAGCAGAAGGCUAGACAACCUGAACUUUUCAGGUACUUAUUCCUUUAUAGCUGGAAGCUUUACAUACUUAGGAAUCAAGGGAGACAUAAGAACUCUUAUUGCUCCAAUCAGCUGUCUCUGAUUGUCAAAGAGAUGAGAGAACUGUUAGGAUUUUAGAUCUUGAGUUCUUCAGUGUGAACUUGAGGCCUUUAUGUUUAUAUUAAAUGGCCUCCCUACCCUUUGAAUACUACACAGAGCUGAAUAGAUCAUUUUCUUAUUCUUAAUGUCUUCUUGUUCAUUCUAAUUUUUCUUAUCAUAUAUGUCAUAUAUAUGUAUAUGUAUAUUCCCUCCUGUCUGUUACAAUUUAAAGCAACAGGGAAGGAAAUGAUUUGAUUCUCAAAUAACUAGGAAAGAUUUCCUAGAAAUUAGUAGACUUGAAGUUGAGAGAUUAUAUAGGUUGGUGCCUUGCUGUCCUCCUAGUGAUUAUUUCUCCUUAGGUAAUUUCCAGAUAGGUUAGUCUAACCCAUUUUCAUGUGGGUUAUUUUAGCUGGACAGAACUGGGAAGCUGGGCGGGAAGGGCAGAGAAGUGGACAUUUAGCUGAUAACCCUAACAUCUUUAAGGUUUCAGAGCUAAUGAGUUGGGAGGAAGAAGAAGAAAUAAUCUUUAUAUUAAAAAUUAAUUUUUCCUCAGAGUUCCUGUUGCCAAUUCUCUGAAGAACUGAGAAAUCUGACAACUUCAGAAUGACAUAUUGUCCCUGUUGCUAUAGCUCCUUGAUUCUUUCCUUACAAUAAUGUUUUAAUUUCUAAGAAAAAUAAUUAUUUUGGCAGAAGAUAGAAAUUCUACUACUUAAAUAGCUUACUCAGCUCAGUAUAAAUUUUAUUUAUCAACAUUUGCUGCAUAACAAUUAAGCAAAUGCUUCUUAGAAGUUUUCUUUGAGCAGUACUCUGGUCCAAUAACUGGUUUUCAAGUUAGAAGGAAGAUUUUUGGAGAAGAUCCUUUUUUUUUUAACUUCAGCAAUUCUCACUUUGAUUAAAUAGUUAUUAAGGAAAAAUUCUUGUUUAUGUGUUUGUAUUGCACAUUCAUGUAUAUUUGUAUAUAUAUAGAUAAUGUAUAUACUCACAUCUAUACACAUUUCAUGCUGGAAGAAGAAGAGAUCCAGUGGGCACUGAAAAAUAGUACAGAAGAGGGCUGGAGCCUCAGUCUGAUUGUAUCAUUUAUAUACGUUCAGGUCCCGUGUUUCCAUGAAUUUUCUUUUACAGAACAUUGUUGACUUGGACAAGUACUUUGUUACAUGUGAUCUGUGGCAAAGAGAUUUACUUGAAGUAAAGACCUCAUGAUUUCCAAGGAUUGAGAAUAAAUGACGCUAAGGACAAUGUAUUCAUCAUCCGUUGCUCCUAUAUUAUAAUCAGUUGAACUCAA